rnacentral:rRNA from 1 species
GACGAACGCUGGCGGCGUGCUUAACACAUGCAAGUCGAACGGAAAGGCCCUGCUUUUGUGGGGUGCUCGAGUGGCGAACGGGUGAGUAACACGUGAGUAACCUGCCCUUGACUUUGGGAUAACUUCAGGAAACUGGGGCUAAUACCGGAUAGGAGCUCCUGCUGCAUGGUGGGGGUUGGAAAGUUUCGGCGGUUGGGGAUGGACUCGCGGCUUAUCAGCUUGUUGGUGGGGUAGUGGCUUACCAAGGCUUUGACGGGUAGCCGGCCUGAGAGGGUUACCGGCCACAAUGGGACUGAGGUACGGACCAGACUCCUACGGGAGGCAGCAGUGGGGAGUAUUGCACAAUGGGCGGAAGCCUGAGGCAGCAGCGCCGCGUGCGGGAUGACGGCCUUCGGGUGGUAAACCGCUUUCGCCUGUGACGAAGCGUGAGUGACGGUAAUGGGUAAAGAAGCACCGGCUAACUACGUG